AGAGUUUGAUCCUGGCUCAGGAUGAACGCUAGCUACAGGCUUAACACAUGCAAGUCGUGGGGCAGCGGAUGCUUAGCUUGCUAAGUAUGCCGGCGACCGGCGCACGGGUGAGUAACGCGUACCGAACCUGCCCAUCACACAGGGAUAGGCUUGCGAAAGCAAGAUUAAUACCUGAUGGUCUCAGUUGUAUGCAUGUAUGAUUGAGUAAAGCCUUCGGGCGGUGAUGGAUGGCGGUGCGUCCCAUUAGGAAGUUGGCGGGGUAACGGCCCACCAAUCCUUCGAUGGGUAGGGGUUCUGAGAGGAAGGUCCCCCACAUUGGAACUGAGAUACGGUCCAAACUCCUACGGGAGGCAGCAGUGAGGAAUAUUGGUCAAUGGGCGAGAGCCUGAACCAGCCAAGUAGCGUGCAGGAUGACGGCCCUAUGGGUUGUAAACUGCUUUUGUAUGGGGAUAAAGUUAGGGACGUGUCCCUAUUUGCAGGUACCAUACGAAUAAGGACCGGCUAAUUCCGUGCCAGCAGCCGCGGUAAUACGGAAGGUCCGGGCGUUAUCCGGAAUUAUUGGGUUUAAAGGGAGCGCAGGCGGGAGUAUAAGUCAGCUGUUAAAUAUCAGGGCCCAACUCUGUUAUGCAGUUGAAACUAUAUUUCUUGAGUACGCACAGGGAUGGCGGAAUUCAGGGUGUAGCGGUGAAAUGCUUAGAUAUCCUGAAGAACUCCGAUCGCGAAGGCAGCCAUCCGGAGCGUAACUGACGCUGAGGCUCGAAGGUGCGGGUAUCGAACAGGAUUAGAUACCCUGGUAGUCCGCACGGUAAACGAUGAAUACUCGCAGUUCGGUCAUUAUGAUUGAGUUGUCCAGCGAAAGCGUUAAGUAUUCCACCUGGGGAGUACGCCGGCAACGGUGAAACUCAAAGGAAUUGACGGGGGCCCG
rnacentral:rRNA from 1 species